UCUGCGCCACAAGUCCCUGCAUGUGUGCCCCUGUGGGCAGUCUGCUUGCUCCCAGUGUACAAGCCCACUGAACUGAGCUGGAACAACUUGUCACAGCUCAUUACUGAUCCACGAAUCUGAGCAGGGUCCCGGGGUACAGCAGGAAGAGGCUCCCCUUCAAAGUAAAGCAGUUCUGUGCGUCACAGCGCUGUUUGUCUCCGCAGUGAUUUCACUCGAAGCUGAGUUCAGGAAACCGCUACAGCACAGACUCCGUCCUCAUGGACCUGGAAACAGCUCCGCACAGUGAGCCGUGUCUGCCUCUGUGAAGGAGCAACAGGGUGAUUUCUGCCUCAAACCACCGCAGCGAGUGUGACCUUGAAGCUGACAGAGGAACUAGAGAACAGAGUACAGACUAAUGUUCCAGCUGCAGUCCAAGACAGUGGAGUUCGAGUCCAUCCAACCACAGGAGGACAGACCGUGCGGAGAGGCAGCUAGGUGAUAUUGAGGUCAGCCGUGUCUGACACCAUGAAACUGAAUCCACAGGAAGCUCUGCUUUAUGGAGACUGUGUGCUGACAGUGCAGCUUGAUGAGGACGAAGAGAAGGAAGCAGACUUUUACCUGAUUUUCUCUGGGUCUACACAAAGGCACGUGAGCAGCACACUGCGAGUGAGUCAUGUCAAACUGCAGGCCAUGUGUCCAGGCCAUAAUGUGUGUGAACAGGUCUUGGUGACACUGUGUUUAGCUCGCCCCGAUGGAUCAGUGGACACGCACUCUCAGCAGACCUUCUCCUUCAUACAGAGUCCAGAGGAAGCUGAGAGCCUGGCCCUGAAGCAUGACAGCCAGCCUCACCACAGGACUGCACCACAAGCACCCUGCAGCACACACACAGAUGUGCAGAAGGGAACGGUCACAGUGACGGACACACACAGACCCGACACACAGAUGGAUGUCUCCUCAUUUUGGAGCAGCUGCCCUGCUGUGUGUGAGCACCAGCAGCCCUCCAGCCUGCUGCAGCUCGCAGCCAGUCAUGGUCUGAAGACGGCACCGGCAUUCCUCCUGCAGCAGCCCGCAGGGAAGGAGGCAUUGCGAAGGACGAACACUCAGGGUUCAGCUCCAGCAUGUCUUGCAAAGAGCAGAGGGAAGCAGCCACUUCUGGAGCUCUUCACACACUAUGCAACGCUCCCAGAUGUUCAAGUGGAAGCUGAGGAGACACUGCAAGUUUACCCCAAAGGUCAAGUGUUUCAGUACCAUGCCAGUGUAGGUACCUACACGCUAACCUUCCUCCUGCAGAGGGAGGGGGACACAGGGACAGACAGCAGGGGGCGCUGCUGUUUACCAGAGGAAGUGAUGGAGCUGAGGAGGCUGAUGGAGGGUCACAAAUACACUGUGAGUUCAGGCUUCCCCUCGCUGGAGGAGAGAACACAAGGGGACGACUCUGCUGCUGUCAGUCAAACAUCCUGUACCAGUGGAGGUCUUUGUCAAAGAGAGGAAAAAGGGUGGGAACACCAGGGCAGAGCAGCUGCCCGCACUGGGAGGAACAAGAAAAACAAAAAGAGAACCGCCAAAGUCACAAGACCUGCAGCAGAGUCUUCAGGAAACCAGAACCGAGAAAGUGCACGGAGGCCCCGCACGGCAACAGGAAGUGGAACUCUCUCACCAAGACAACGAGCAGUGGCGACUGUGACUAAUGUCGGAGGAACACAAGAAACUCCAUCACCCAUAAGGCCAGUAUUGGGACCAGGUGUUGAAAGGAAGUGUGCUGGCAGGAAAGUGGUUGCCUUGCCUACGGCCAGUGUCGUAGAUAAACAGGAAGGCCAGAAACAGGAAGUGGAGCUGCUGAUGCGUAAGCUGGUGUCAAAGACAGGAAGAGACACACAAAGUGUCAGCGCAGAAAUCACAGUGGAAUCAGCUGCAGAUGGGACAGUGGCCAUGGGUCAGGAGCAGUCCCAGGACAGUCAGACAGAGCAAGAGGAGCCAAGCCCAGUCGGCACUAUUAAGAAAAGUCCUUCAUCUGACACGGGAGCCAGCCCUGAGUCCACACACGCUGAAAGGAAAGGUAGGAGAGUGCUAUGGCGGGAUGGAGGUUGGACCGGAAGCAGAAUGGGACCAGAAGCAGCAGGAAAAACCACCUGGUAUGAGGGAGAAAACUUCGAACAAGUUUCCAGUGAAGAUUCCAGGAGAACAGAAGUGAACUCGCAGUCAGUCUGGUACGACAGUGGCACCACGGGUGAGAGAAUCCCCGGACAGCAGGAGCAGGGAGUGACAGAGAAGAGAAACUGCGAUACGAGCUCACCUCAAGCUUUAGGUCUUAGUUCUCCACAGCUGUUAGAGCAGGCGCUGUCUGCAGCCCCUAGUCAGUCACAUGCUGCUGGAAACCUGCCAGCACUGUCACAUGGGCCACACGCACAAAGACGGGAAGUGCAGCCAGAGGAGGAAGUUAGGUCAGACUGGAAGAAGGCAGGAGUGGAAGGAGACAGAGAAGAGGCCAGUAACAGAGAGACAAGUUUCAGCAGAAGGAUUUGUGAAACGGCAGGCGCUGAAGAGGGAGGAGAAAAACUAGCAACGAGCAAAAAACGGAGGAGAAAAAAGAGGGGGAAGAGAGGAGGUGGAGAAGCCAAACUUAGCUCCUGCUCCAGUACAGAAUCUCAGGGUUACACAGAGAUUCAGACAGAAAGCCAACAAGCAACAGAGCCCGGCAUCCAGUCACAGACACAGACUGGGAGGACAGACGGUUGCUGCCUCCCUGAUUCUGAGCCGGCCUGGAAGCAGGAAGCUGAUGACGAUGCCAUGCACCUACCCGGCCACACGGAGAUCCAGGCCCGCAGCGCUUGUGGAGCUGGCGGUGAUGUUACAAGCUCAGACUGUGGUUUCAUGGCUGAAGAGCUCAGUCACGCUGAGCAUCUAACAGCACACUCCACUCCAGUUACAGCUUCACACACAGAAAGAAGAAACGACUCAUCAGAGGAUGAGACCGUGAGCUCAGUCUUCAUCGCUUCAGAACUCGGUGAAGCAGACGUCAGUACAGUGGACAUAAAGACAAAUACAACUGUGCAGCCAGAGGCAACACAAGGACGUGACACUGGAGAGCUGGAAUCACAGAUGCCUGCCAUUCCUGUCCAGCCAGCACCGGAUAAUGCUGAUCUUAAGGCUCUGCCACCAAACGAGGAUCUGACCGUUACUUGUACAGCCACAGAAUCUGGGAUCCAGAUCGGGUUAGCGAACUCCAAGUAUCCAAAGGAAUUUGUUAAACAGUCGGAGGAUACAGAGCUCAGGGAGGAAAAGCCAGGACACUCUGUGGAUCCCACAGGAACACCAGCAGGACUUGUUGAAUCUGUGCGUCCCACAGAAGCUGCUUUUGUACCAGCUGACGAUAGAGCGGAUGUUGCUCCCCUUCACAUUCGGGAAGGAAGCACUGAGAGCGCUGCGAGGGAAUAUUUAGAGCAUUGUUUGGCCCCUGAGAUGCUGAGAGGUCAGCUGAACACGGAGAAAAUGAGACAUAACAUGCGGGUGGGCGUAGAGGGAGGAGUUGAGGAAAGAAGCCAGAGUGGCGACGAGGACAGUGCCACAGAGGCGUGUUCUAUGGAGCAAGGGCGAGCGGUGAAGCAGAACUAUGAUGAAGACCUGGUUGCUGCAGCAGUAGCUGUUGUAGCAGUAGCAAUAGCAUCAGCAGUGGUUAGCAUAGAAGUGAGCCAACAUUUAGUAGACAGUAUGUCAGAGAGUCAAGUGUGUGCUGGCAGAGAAGCAGGAAUCAGUCCAUCAUUAGCACAGGGGAGCGGUGCAGUCAGCCUCAGCACGGCUCAGUGCUCACAGCUGUCUCCACAGCUGAUCGCCAGAGCUGACACAGAAAACCAGCCUGCAGCACACUCUCACUCUCACCUCACUAACCACAUCACCUCUACAGGAGAAGCGUGUGUUCACACAGCAGAGGAAGCGCCUUCUGCAGAGAUAUCUUGUAUAACUAAUACAGACGAUCAGGCUAACAGUGACCUGCCUUCAUCUGCUGAAGCUCUUCAGUUACCAAAACAUCCCAAAGAAGAAAUUCAAAAAGAAAGUCUGCACAGCAAAGUCUUUAAAUACUCACCACCUAAAGAAGAAGAUAACAAACCUUUGCCAGAGGUGAUGACAGCUGAGGCAGACAGAGAGAGCCAGUCCCACUGUCAGAAUCCACUGCUAACAGAGCACAGAGAGCCCAAAGAUCAGGCUGCCUGUCCUGAAGAGGGAGAUGGACAGCAGCACUUUCAAACAAGAGAGAUCCCCGAUCAAGACACCGGUCACUCUGUGGAGUGCAGAGAUGCUGAGUGGCAGGAUAGAUCAGAAGAUAGUGAGUACUGUGCAGACGGUUUCCCAGACCUGUCAGCCUCACACUCUCACACUCCAGGAAAGGAGAGCCAGCCACAGCUGGCUUUAAUGCCACAUCAGAGUGGUUUAGCACUUCCUGUUACCCCCAGUAACCCAGCUUCCCUAGCUAGUCCCACUCCACAGGAAACGACUGCUCCUGUGGAAUCAGCUGAACUUCUGUCAUCAGCAAACGGCAGUAGUCUUACUGCAAGCCCUCCUGAAGCUGAAGGUGGCAAAAACCAAAGAGAAGCUCAUGACUGUGUCUGUGUGAACCCUGAGGAUGGUGUGUUUGAAGGGCUGGAUAUGGUGGAGAAAGGAGGAGAAGUGGAGAAGCUCACAGUGGAGGACACAACCCACACAGGAGCAGCAGAGCAGGAGCAGAGAGGCUGGGACAGCGCACAUACUCUGCAGAUCCAGAGAGAAAGCCAUGUGCUCUGUCCUGUACAGCCCAGUCUGGAACACAACGCAUUAACACCAUGUACAGAUAUUCACACAGACCGAGGAACGUGUGUGUCGCUGUGUUUGGUGCAGGGAGAGUCAGUGGUGGAAGAUGGCCUGAACGUCACUCCUGAGCUGGACGAUGGUCUAAUUCACAAGCCUGAGGCUCCUCAGACUGGUGUUGGGGACAUGGACGGCCAGGCCUGUGGCGCCCACUCCUCCACUAGUAAUGCACUGAUGCAAGAAGCUGUCAGCCCCAGCAAAGCAGCUUUGUCAGUGGACACAUCUGGCACUGUGUCCCCUCAGAGCUCCACACUGUCCUGGAUGUCAGAAACGGAGGACAGAGGAGGAGGAGGAGGAGACGUAGAGGGAGGAGGCGAUGAAGAAGAGAAAAAAGACCAGCUUCCAGAAACUCCAGUGUCAUCAGCCGUCUUGCGCACCUCCAGUCGCUCCUUGUCUCCGUUGCGUCGCCAUAGCUGGGAGCCGGGCAGGACCAACACAGCCACACACAUGGAGCUCUCACAGAGCAGUCUGCCUGCCCCUUCCUUCAGCUCACUGAAGAGCGUUUCAGGAGAGGUGAAACAAGCCAAGACCCCCCUCCACAGGAGAAGUAUGAGCUGGUGUCCAUCCAACCUGGUUUGUCCUGAUCAGGAGCAAAUAGACAGCCGAAGCCACAGUCUAGAAAGUCUAGAAGUGGGCACAGCAGUGGUGCAGGACCAGACGCAGUGUGCCAGCAUCAGUGAUCAGGAGGUGGUGGCUGCAGGCAGGAAUUCACAUGUGGAGAGCCUGGACAGGGGGUCUCUGGCCUCCCUAACUGAGGAGGAGCAGGAAGGAGACAGCAGCAGCAUUGACAGCCAGACAUCAUUGAUUGUCCGCUGUCCUGCCACGUUUCAUCAUCCAACUCUCACCAAAUCCAUCUCCAUGGUCACUGUCACUCAGCGGGACAUACAGGGUGUGAACUCAUUCUGCAGUCACUCUGGGUCACUGGCAUCCAGUAUUUCAGAGGAUGAGCCAGGUCCCCUGCAGAGCGAAACUGAGGGAAAAGGAGGACCUAAAAUUGGUCGGAGAUUCAGCUACCUCCGCAACAAGAUGAGCAAGAGAGUCAAGGACAAGGAGAGGAGGGGGAGGGUAAGCAAGAGAGCAAAGCACGAGAAAAGGCCCCCCUGUGCCCCCCCAGCUCCACGCUGUGUCAGCACAGCAGCAGACUCCUGUGCAAUAAGGAAACGUUCUCCUGCAACAACUGUGGGGUCCUGGUCAGUGACAGAUCCACAGAGGGCCCGUCUGUCUGUGCAAAGAACAAAACAAAGCAGCAAGCAGCGGUGCCAGAAGGCGUUCCUGGGUCGUCUGUUAACACGAGGAGUAAAACUACAUCUUCUACAUCAUCACUUUCGUCAAGGUCCUCAUCGUCACGUUGGUCAACAGUAACCAUGCCCGACGACCACUUUCCUAUGCUGUCUCCGAGAAGAAGCCGCAGAACCUUCAGCCCUCACAGCAACCUGGCUAAGAGCAUCUCCAGUAGCAACAUACCAUCGUUAGACGAUGCUGCACUCAAACGCCUCAAAGUGCUGUCCCAGUCCACCGACUCUCUCAAUCAGGGGAGCAAAGUCAACGCUUCAACUGAGUCUCUCACUGAUGAAG